rnacentral:rRNA from 1 species
AUUGAACGCUGGCGGCAGGCCUAACACAUGCAAGUCGAGCGGAUGAGGGAAGCUUGCUUCCCGAUUUAGCGGCGGACGGGUGAGUAAUGCCUAGGAAUCUGCCUAUUAGUGGGGGAUAACGUUCCGAAAGGAACGCUAAUACCGCAUACGUCCUACGGGAGAAAGUGGGGGAUCUUCGGACCUCACGCUAAUAGAUGAGCCGAGGUCGGAUUAGCUAGUUGGUGAGGUAACGGCUCACCAAGGCGACGAGCCGUAGCUGGUCUGAGGGGAUGGUAAGACACACUGGAACAGAGAAACGGACCAGACUCCUACGGGAGGCAGCAGUGGGGAAUAUUGGACAAUGGGCGAAAGACUGAUCCAGCCAUGCCGCGUGUGUGAAGAAGGUCUUCGGAUUGUAAAGCACUUUAAGGUGGGAGGAAGGGUUGUAAGCUAAUAUCUUGCAGCUUUGACGUUACCAACAGAAUAAGCACCGGCUAACUCUGUGCCAGCAGCCGCCGUAAGAC